ACACUCAGGAGUUUCACAUCUCCUGUCUCCAGCUAGAGCCUCCAGAAGUCCUAGGGGCAGGGCAAGCUGGUCCCCAAAAGAGGAUCAGAACACCAGAGAGACCAAGAAGGCCCUGGACAGGCCAGCUCACUUGGUCCAGCCCCAGGCCCCACACCUGUAACAAGGGCCGUGAUGACAGAGGUCUCAGCAAACAGCCCGCGGCCAAGGAGCUGGUGCAGCGAGGAGGGCAGGGGCCCACGCGCAGCCAUCCUCCAGAGAGCAUCAGUCUAGGCUGCAAGCUUGAAGCGGAGCAGAGAGUGGGGAGCAGACACCAUGCAGUUUCCCCAGGGAGAUCUGCACUCAGUGAGAACAUGAGCGAGUACAUCUUCAUUCAGCACCGUCUAUGCCACGGGUUCCCUCAGCCCUGCGUCUGCCUGGAUUGCUCUACUCUCAGAGGAUGCCCGUCAAGGCUGGGCAAUGUCAGGAGUUGAACCUCUUGGAAAGGAAACCAGGGACUUGUAACUGUAGAGUAAUAAAGUCCCCCAAAGUGGCUGCUUAUGGGUGUCCUUUAGCGCUGGGUGCUCCUCCACACUGCCCGCAUCCCUGGAAAAU
rnacentral:lncRNA from 1 species